CACAUACACAUACAGUGUUCUGGAAAAGCAGCCGUGAAGUGUUACUAGAACUGAGGCCUCUUCUGGGAUGUUGCUAAGGAAAGUUCACAAUCUCGGGCUGCUAAUUAAAAUUACUUCUACUUAUUGCGCAUAAAUUAGGUCCUAAUAAGCUGCAGUUGGAUACAAAGAAAACAGCACUGACAGCAGAGAGAAAAUCAAAAUGGAAUCUUUCAUGUAAUUAGCAUACACAGUCCACACAGGGCACACAGAAGACGGGUGAGCGGUGGAGAGCGAAGUCUUUGCAGGCAUUGAAAGACAAGCCCCGCAGGCUUUUGAGCUCUGACCAGUCCAGAAGUGAAGGACAAGUGCCCAGGAGAGAUUAUGAUUUCAAGCCAGAAUGAUACUACCAUGAUAACCGUCUAAAUGCUCCCUCUGCCUCCUACACGCUCCCUACAGUCGGUCCUCCACGGAGCAACCAGCGAAAACACUAAUCAGGCCAGUCUCCUGUUGACAGCCC
rnacentral:lncRNA from 1 species